rnacentral:rRNA from 1 species
UAUCGACGAGUUGAUCCUGGCUCAGAUUGAACGCUGGCGGCAUGCCUAACACAUGCAAGUCGAACGGAGAUAGGGGCAACCUUAUUUCAGUGGCGGACGGGUGAGGAAUGCGUCGGAAUCUGCCCUAUGGUGGGGGAUAACACAGGGAAACUUGUGCUAAUACCGCAUAAUGUCGAGAGACCAAAGCAGGGGACCGCAAGGCCUUGCGCGAUAGGAUGAGCCGACGCCCGAUUAGCUUGUUGGUAGGGUAAUGGCCUACCAAGGCGACGAUCUGUAGCGGGUCUGAGAGGAUGAUCCGCCACACUGGGACUGAGACACGGCCCAGACUCCUACGGGAGGCAGCAGGUGGGGAAUAUUGGACAAUGGGCGAAAGCCUGAUCCAGCAAUGCCGCGUGAGUGAUGAAGGCCCUAGGGUUGUAAAGCUCUUUUACCAGGGAUGAUAAUGACAGUACCUGGAGAAUAAGCUCCGGCUAACUCCGUG